CCUACGGGAGGCAGCAGUGGGGAAUAUUUGACAAUGGUGGCAACCCUGAUCCAGCCAUGCCGCGUGUGUGAAGAAGGCCCUCGGGUUGUAAAGCACUUUCAGUGAGUAAGAACGCCUGGUGGUUAAUACCCAUCAGGAAAGACAUCACUCACAGAAGAAGCACCGGCUAACUCCGUGCCAGCAGCCGCGGUAAUACGGAGGGUGCGAGCGUUAAUCGGAAUUACUAGGCGUAAAGCGCGCGUAGGUGGCUUGAUAACCCGGUUGUGAAAGCCCCGGGCUCAACCUGGGAACGGCAUCCGGAACUGUCAAGCUAGAGUGCAGGAGAGGAAUGUAGAAUUCCCGGUGUAGGGGUGAAAUGCGUAGAGAUCGGGAGGAAUACCAGUGGCGAAGGCGGCCUUCUGGACUGACACUGACACUGAGGUGCGAAAGCGUGGGUAGCAAACAGGAUUAGAUACCCCGGUAGUC
rnacentral:rRNA from 1 species